AGCCCACCCCGAACGGCACAAAAUAGGAAAAAAGAAAACCCACCCCAUCUUCCCCAUCUUGUCGUCGACCCACCACAUCCGGCACCCCGCUGCCGGCCACCUCCCGGCGCCCCGGCUUCUUGACCCGCCGCCAGCCACCUCCGGCGCCCCAACUUCUUGACCCGCCGCCAGCCACCUCACCAUGCCCCUGAUUCUUUCCCUGCCACCUCCCCGCGGCCCGACUUCUUUCCCGCCUCCGGCCUCCUCCUCGCGCCCCGGCUUCUUCCCGGCCGUCGGCCUCCUCCUCGCGCCCCAGCUUCUUCCCCGCCGCCGGCCUCCUCCUCUUGCCCCGACUUCUUCCCCGUUGCCGGCCUCCUCCUCGCGCCCCAGCUUCUUCCCCUCCGUUGGCCUUCUCGUCGCGUCCCGGCUUCUUCCCCGCCGGAGCGGCCAACCACAAGAUCCGGUCGCCACAUCCCCAUGACGCCCCCAGCAACGGCGCCCGGACCUCGACACCACCCGGCUCGGGGGACUCCAAGCCCCGGCGCUGCCGACCCCUGCACUACCUCAUCCGGCGACGAUCCACGCCAUCACUCUGCCUCGUUCCGGUGGGGGAUCCAUGGCCACUACGCCAGUCCAAUACCACCGCCGCAAGCCGGCCACAUCCACAAUGACCAGACCGGCUGCCCCGCGCCUCAGCCCCCCGUAUGCACGCCACCAAGUGCCUCUGUGCACUCCCCCCGCCUCCCCCAUCAGGUUGCAGCCCGAGCCACACGGUGCCGCAUCUUGUUGAGAUCACUGCCUUGCCGUGGUUCCAGCGGUACACAGGAGGAUGGAUGCCCUGGUGCCGUACGUCCAGUUUUGUCAGGUUUUGAUGCGAUGCUCUUCUGCUCAUGACGCUGGAGCCCUAGUGCCCCACUACACAUGAAACGAGAGACAUGUACAGAAGUUCACCUAAAAAAAGGCUAGCAGUUCUUCCCAAAGAGACAACAGUUCUAAGAAAAGAAGGUAGAAAAAAAGGGUAGCUCAACGUACAAAAAAUUGGAGGUUUAGAGACCACAAACAAAGACGAAAACAAUUUCAGUGGCACAAUCAGUUUAGUUUCUAUUUUUAGUUCAGUUCAAUUAUUAUUUUUAGUUUCGUUCAGUUCAAUAUUGUCAAUGAACUGAUAUACAUACAAAUAAGAAAUUAUAUUCAUUUAUUUGGUACAGACUUAGUUAUUAGUUUUGGAGACCAGAAUAUCAGUUCAGUUAUUUUAUCAUUUUGUACCGAUUCCACUCAUUGUAUGAACUGGUGCAUCACCAUGGAAGUAAAAAAGAAAGGAAACAUCAGUCCAGCUACUAGACAUGGAUGUGAUUUUCUAUGUAGAUAUCUAGCGGGAGCUGCAGCUGGUGAGCGUCUGUGCCCUGCUGAUUGCGUGCAAGUACGAUGAGAUUUGGGCUCCAGAGGGAUGGCAAUUUUUCCCAUGGGUAUGGGUACCCGUGGGUACCCUACCCGAAAACAAUGGGAAUGGGCAAGACUUGAAGAGAUUUUCUACCCACGGGUAAUGGGUACCCAUAUCCACAAAAUGUAUGGGUAGGGCAUGGGUAAGAAAUUGUGCCCAUGGGUAACCCAAUGGAUACCCAGAAAAAAAUAACAAAUGAAAAUAAUUCCUAUAACAUGUGGGGUUAACAUCCAACUCAUAUGGUCUAACCCUAAAUCUCGUAUUCCUUAAACAAGUCAUAGCUCAUAGGCUCAUAAUCACCUGCUUGCCACUCCUCAUACGUCCUAUGUGACUCCUCAAAAAUAUGAAAUAUCGACUCUUUGCUACCAGACUCUUGUCGAACACUCGAUCCAGCGAUCCCCAAUUCCCACCACCGCCUUCCACUACGUCGGCCUUCCACCAACCGCUGCUCAUACUCCCCUGAUGCCUCCAAGAGGCCACCCACUGGAGGAGGCCACAUACGUGCUAUAGUUCUCUACCAUGAUCACUUGAAUUUUGAACUCAUUUCUCUACCUCUUAAGAAUUUGAAUGCUAUAUAUUGUACCCAAUGGAUACCCAUUGGGUAUAGGAUACCCGAUGGGUAUGGGCAUGGGUGUCAGUUUAUACCCAUGGGUAUUGAAGUGGGUGGGUAUAAAAAAUUUCUAUGGGUAUGGGUUUGGGUAGAAGGAGGUUGUACCCGCCCAUACCCUACCCAUUGCCAUCCCUAUUUGUGCGCCAACCUGCAGGUGAAUGACUUCAAAUUGUUCUCCGACAACACAUAUACAGGGAGCAGAUUCUGAGGAUGGAGAAGGCAAUCCUGAACAUGCUUGAGUGGAACUUGACAGUGCCCACACCUUACGUCUUCCUUGUCCGAUUCGCCAAGGCCGCGUCCUCCUGAGAUAAGAAGAACGGCAAGGAGGUAAAAGGAACACCAGAUUUUUAGCAAAUUCUUCAGAUGUAGUACGUAUCUUCCAUUUUGCCAAAGCAGUGAGUCUAUGUGCUGAAGUUUCUCGCGUCUUCUCUUGGAUGUAUUUGUCUAAAUGGAGAGCACUGUCUUUUUUGUGUGGAGCUGGCGCUGCUGCAGUAUGGACAGGAACAAUGUGUUGAUGUCGAGCAAAACACAGAGACAAGGUUAGAAAGUUCAACAUGUGAUUGGAAUUCAGUGCGAAAAGCUGCAGGUGCGAGAUGGCGGCCGCCGACGUUGCUAAAUCCUUCUACAAACUAGUGGUUGGCUGCUUCGAGCGGUAAAUGUGGUCGGAUUCAGCAGCUAGCUCUUCCUCGAGCAACCAUUUGGAGAAUUUUAUUGUCUUCUUGUGGUGGUGAUUGAUUUUAGGAUCAGUAAAUUUGACAUUGGUAGCUAGCUUGCGUAUGGAACCUGCAAGUUCAAUAUUGGUAUUAGAUUUAGUUUCUUGUUGUACAAAUGUCCCAGUUCAGCUACAGAAAUCAUGCAGGUUUAGUGAUGAUGAUACCAUAAGUUCGGACAAGAAAAUUUAUGUAUAUGAUGAGAUGAUUGCUACUUCAAAGAAGGUAUAGUACAUGACAGCUUGAUGUGCAUACAAGAAUAAAGAAAAUGUUUGAAUCAAAAAUAUUGAUCAGUACUAAUUAAAAACAAUGAUUAGUUUUAAAAGA